rnacentral:rRNA from 1 species
AUUGAACGCUGGCGGCAGGCCUAACACAUGCAAGUCGAGCGAGCGGCGGACGGGUGAGUAAUGUCUGGGAAACUGCCUGAUGGAGGGGGGUAACUACUGGAAACGGUAGCUAAUACCGCAUACCAUCAGAUGUGCCCAGAUGGGAUUAGCUAGUAGGUGGGGUAACGGCGCACCUGGGCGACGAGCCCUAGCUGGUCUGAGAGGAUGACCAGCCACGCUGGAACUGAGACACGGUCCAGAUGCCGACGGGAGGCAGCAGUGGGGAAUAUUGCACGAUGGGCGCAAGCCUGAUGCAGCCAUGCCGCGUGUGGGAAGAAGGCCUUCGGGUUGUAAUGCACUUUCAGCGGGGAGGCGUUACCCGCUGAAGAAGCACCGGCUAACUCCGUGCCAGCAGCCGCGGUAAUUC